GGGGGCGUACCGGUUUCGACGGGGACACGGAAGUGGGAAUAGCGGGCGGUGGCGCCUGGCCACCUUAAAACGGGCACUUCUUUAUAAAUUAAAGAACAACGAAAAUUACGCUUACGCUGCUUAAUUAACAGCAGCCGUCCAACCCGGAAGGACCACGAGCCGGGAUUGGGCGUCGUUUAGUGGUGCACGUGCGCCGGCAAAGCUUUGCGCCGGCCAUGAAUCAUGAAGCUCACCAGACCCCUGGGCGUGACGGCUUGCCCAGGGUGACGGGAACCGGGAGAGCAAGACUCCCGCAAUAACCGUCUGCGCCCGGAGAAGUUCCCAUGGAAGGGUUUUCGGACGGGAGUUCGACUCUCCCCGCCUCCACCA
rnacentral:tmRNA from 2 species